UCGGUGUCAGCUAAGUCUGAUGGAUGAAUAUGAACGUAGUGUUUAAAUUCUCUUUGGAUGAAUAUUUCAAGUGUCAAAUCUCAACGAGCUAAGGAAAUAAUUUGUUUUUUCAAUAAAUUUUAAUAAUAACAUAUCGUCUUCAAUAUAUUUUGAACACGUACUGAUAAGAUGUACAUAUGAAUUUGAGUUGAAAUAUCCCAUAAUUUUGUAAACUAUCACAAUAAAAUUGAAUUUCUCAUAAUAAUAAUUAUAAUCAAAGAAGAAUUUACUUUAUUCAGUUUCAAAUUGAACUCUGAGCCUUUCUUGUUACCUUAUACGGUUAGUGUUUAAAUUUUUUGUUAUAAUUAUAAAGCAUUAACAACGGUGGUAUUGUAAUUUAAUAAAUUACUUAUACAAAGAAGAUAUGCCGAUUAAAUCGAUCUCGGCAAGGAAACGACGACAACGAAGACGAGCAAACAUGCCAAGCAACGAAACAAGCAAAGAAGAAGGUUCACCUGCACAGCAUAGCCCUGUGAGCCAAUCACAAGUUUCUAAUAAAAAUAACCAAAGUGGAGAUCAAGGAUCACAGCCUUUAACCAGCGCAAAGUUGCAAGAGUUAGUCCGAGAAGUUGACCCAACAGUACAACUAGAUGAAGAGGUUGAGGAAGUUUUGCUUAAUUUAGCUGAUGACUUUAUGCAUGCUGUGGUAAAUGCAGCUUGCUCUGUUGCUAAGAAGAGACAAGCAUCUGCUGUGGAGUUAAAGGAUGUUCUACAACAAUUAUAGAUGCUACAAAAGCCAGUGGUUAAGCUACUGAAACGUGACCACAAUUAUAAGAUUGAGGGGCGGCAUUGACCGCUCCACUCUAACGUCAUAGAUCCUUCAACAAUUCCGCUUAUGGUCUUGGUGACCGAUUGCAGAAAGACCGUCGCGAGACUACAUUGAAGUCGGAGUCGAAAGUCAAUUACGAUAUAAUCACAGUCCACGUUAAAUACGUGGAUGCCGCUUCGUUAGCUGAGUCCUGACUCGAGGGGCAGAGCAAGGUGGCCUAUUGCUAUGUUUAGAAGUUUUUUAAAUUAUCCGGACUUACCCUGUCUAAUCCAGGGGCUUGCAUUCAAUAUAUGCCAAGGAAUAGCCUACCUACCAUAUUUAGAGUCUAAUUAAUAUACCUACACUAGAUUCCAAGAUAAUUCAGAUAAAUUUAGUUCUUUUAUUCUAUAAUCGAAAUUCUAUUGAACACCCAACCAGUAAGUUUUUCGUUACGCGAUAUACUAAAUACGUAAAGUAGGCAGUUCCGAUAAUGCUUACUGAGGGCUAGUAGAAUACGUUCACUUUCUAUAACAAAAUUUAUUUGUCAAGGUAAUACAACCACAGCAAAAAAUAUACAAUUACUAUGUAUAUUGUUCUUAAAUAUGACCAUCGCAAUUUGUCAUCUUUAACACAUCCGGGGUAGGCAAGAUUAUGACACUUCGAAAUGACAACCGCAGCUGUCACGAAAUAAACCAAUGAAAGAAAUUAUACCUACAUUAUGAUUUAUGAGUCAUAUUUCGUCGGGCGCCGUACGUAACACACGGAUUGUUAAAGUAUCGAGUUAUAACAAUUAUAUUUAAAUAGUUACCUUGUGAUUUAGUGGCUUAAACUUUGAAAUUAUUAAAGGAAGUGUUAGUUCUGUGUAAUUAACAAAUAAACAGUGUAAAUAAAAGUUUAUAACAAGUAUUUUACAUCGAAUAGACAUUAUUAUUUCAAUUAUAAUUUUACGAAUACCCUCAAUAUUCACGCUAAAGUUAAUUUUUGGACUUGGCGCGUAGUUAUUAUAUUUAGUUGCCGUCCAGUGAUAUUUAUUCAUUCUUAUUAUCACCACUCGUUUUUAUAUAAAGUUUUAAACAACAUGCUAGAUUCACCCAAUAUCCUGAGCAAAAUAACAUUAAACAUACCGAGAUUAGGGUCAAGAAGCAAACACAAACUUUUCUAUCUACCCACCGUAAGAACUAACGUUGGCAGCAACGCGCCACUAUAUCGUGUCUGUCAUUCAUUAAAUAAUAUUUUGGAGACAUCCGGGGCUGAUCCACUAUGCGAUAGCCUCAUAGCAUUUGAACGUAAGGUAUUGCAACUAUAGUAUAGUGAUUCUUUAAUUACUUACAUCAUAUUUUUUUAUUACCAUAUAUAUAUUUUUUUACUAUCAUAUUUUUUAUAUACUGUAUAAGUCUCUGUGUUAUAUAAGUGCCCAAUAGAAAUGAUUCUCAUUUAUGUUGUGUGCACCUGUAAUUGACUCAUACACUGGAACUAUUUAUGUGCAAUAUUUAAGUUUAAGAGUGUAUUGUGUAUGUGUUGUUGGAGCACCUUUAAAUAAAUAAAUGAGUAAUUAUUAUUACGUGUCUCGUUCGCUUAGUGUCCGAGUUUCAACCUUAUUGCGCUCCCAUAAGAGUUUUGACGUGAUUCAUGAUUGUGAGAUAUAAAAUAUGACAUUUCCGGAAAUAAAAAUAUAUUGUUUACUAAUCAACAAUGACAGCGCCAUUUUUAAGUUGUUGUGUUUUCUUCAUUCGUGUACUUAUACGGGCGUGAAUAAUUAAGCUAAUUACAUUAGUUAUUAGUUUUGUGUUGAUUUGUUUAUUGUUAAUUAUAUUUAGUGUUUAUAUUGGAAAAAGAAGUUGCUGUUUGUUUUGUGUUUAAAAUAGGUAACUAGUAAGGAAUUAAAACAUAAUGGAGGAAUUCCAGUGCCUGGAUUGUGGCGAAAAAACGUUUUGUUUACAUAAAUUAGGUAUGUAUCCUUUUGCACAAUUUUCGUUCGUAGAUAAAAUAAAAAUUGUUUCUCUUUAUAGACCAAUGCAAAAAUAUUAGUUUAACUCAACAAAAAGGUAAAAUUAUCAAUUUAUUGAUCCCCUGCUGUUUAUUUUCUACAACGAAAACUGUGUGGAAUGAUACUGGUUACGGUGACUUGCAUAAUUUGACAAAAUUGCUAAAAAACACGAUCAAUCUGACAGAACGGCAGAAUAAUGUUGGUAAGUGAACUUAUAUUUAUCCUUAUACCUAACAGGAACAAUUUUUUUUAUAUUUUCGAGUGCCUACCGCGCUGGAAAACCAAUGCACGUCCCUGCCUGUAUCCCAAGUUACCCUGAUGCAUCUUAUUAUAUUCUAGGAAAUAAGAGUUUUUUUUUGUAUGAAAUUUUAAUACAACCUACUAAAAAUUCACAAACAAGCUAAGAACAAAAUAAUUAACUCUAAAAUUAAAUGCAUCGAUUCGUUAAGCUUCUAAUAAUAAUAAUACAGCCACAAAUUAAUAUUCGGAUAAAAAUUGGGCAGUGUAAUGCCCUAACCGCCUAACGGUUAGGGCCUAACUCGUCAUUGGUUGCGGCAGAAAUGUCGACACCAUGCCAGGGAGACGGCGCCUUUUAUAGUCAUCUUCACCCUCGACACCUGUCACUUUCUACAGUAUAAUGGAAUAUAUAAUUGCAGAAAUACAAUCGAAUGUGUGGAUACCUGGAUUCGGUAACGACGAGCUGCGGCCAUACAAAAGAGCAGCGGUCACCGAAGCUCAAAACAGCGAAUUGUGAAUGAAUCCGGUAGACCAUGAAAAAAUAUUAAAUAAACAUUCAUAAUAUU